rnacentral:rRNA from 1 species
ACAGUCACACAUUAGAUACCCGGGUAGUCCUGGCCGUAAACGAUGUGGACUUGGUGUCGGCCACGGUGCGACCGUUGUCGGUGCCGUAGGGAAGCCGUGAAGCGAGCCACCUGGGAAGUACGGCCGCAAGGCUGAAACUUAAAGGAAUUGGCGGGGGAGCACCACAACGGGUGGAGCUUGCGGUUUAAUUGGAUUCAACGCCGGAAAUCUUACCGGGACCGACAGCAACAUGAAGGCCAGGCUGAAGACUUUGCCGGAUUAGCUG